rnacentral:rRNA from 1 species
AUGGCUUCCAACGCGAGCAUGUUGGCCGUGUUCAUGGCUUGCGCGCUCCUCCUCGCCGGCAGCACGUGCCACGCCUCCCGCAACCUGGCCGACACUACGCCGGCGGCUGCCGCUCCGGCUGCUAGCGCCCUCCCUGGCCUGCCGGCCGUGCCGACCUUGCCUGCCGUGCCCACGGACACGGUCACCCUGAUGCCACCAAUGCCGUCGGUCACCCUGCCCACCGUGCCGCAGGUGACGCUGCCGCCCAUGCCCUCCAUCGUCGUGCCCAAGGGGGUCCUGCCGCCCAUGCCCAAGGUCACCCUCCCCACCGUGCCGCAGGUGACGAUGGCGCCGAUGCCUGCCAUUGUCGUGCCCAAGGUGACGCUGCCGCCGUUGCCAUUCGUCCAGAAUGUGAACGUGCCUAUGCCGUUCGCGGCACCGCCCCCGUCAGCGUAG